UACGUAGGGACCGAGCGUUGUCCGGAUUCAUUGGGCGUAAAGAGCUCGUAGGCGGCCGCUCAAGUCGAAUGUGAAACCUCGAGGCUCAACCUCGAGCCUGCAUUCGAUACUGGGCGGCUAGAGUCUGGUAGGGGGAUCUGGAAUUCCUGGUGUAGCGGUGGAAUGCGCAGAUAUCAGGAGGAACACCGGUGGCGAAGGCGGGAUCCUGGGCCAGUACUGACGCUGAGGAGCGAAAGCGUGGGGAGCAAACAGG
rnacentral:rRNA from 1 species